rnacentral:rRNA from 1 species
CCUACGGGAUGCAGCAGUGGGGAAUAUUGCACAAUGGGCGCAAGCCUGAUGCAGCCAUGCCGCGUGUAUGAAGAAGGCCUUCGGGUUGUAAAGUACUUUCAACGGGGAGGAAGGCGAUAAGGUUAAUGACCUUGUCGAUUGACGUUACCCGCAGAAGAAGCACCGGCUAACUCCGUGCCAGCAGCCGCGGUAAUACGGAGGGUGCAAGCGUUAAUCGGAAUUACUGGGCGUAAAGCGCACGCAGGCGGUCUGUCAAGUCGGAUGUGAAAUCCCCGGGCUCAACCUGGGAACUGCAUUCGAAACUGGCAGGCUAGAGUCUUGUAGAGGGGGGUAGAAUUCCAGGUGUAGCGGUGAAAUGCGUAGAGAUCUGGAGGAAUACCGGUGGCGAAGGCGGCCCCCUGGACGAAGACUGACGCUCAGGUGCGAAGGCGUGGGAGCAAACAGGAUUAGAUACCCGUGUAGUC